UACCCGCUCCCGCCUCCGUUUUAGUCUUCUAGGGGCGUCUAGCUACUCUACCCUACCGGACGACCCCCACCACGGUAGGCCACGUGGCGACGCUCUGUAGAGUUGGACCGGCGGCCGCAGCUAAGCCCUAACUCGAGCUGAGCACGAGUAGGACUUAACCUUCCGCUACCAACGCUCCAAGUGGAAGUCUCGCGUCUCCUCCUCUAGCUUAAACAAGCCUCCGCUCUAAACUUCUCUUGUUCCGGUUGUUACUGACGCUUAAGACCACUCGACUUACUUUAAACCUCUUCCCUUCUCUAGUUCCGGUCUGUCUCCAGGUCUCUCUUUCUCUAAAAUCUCCCACUUAUAUUGUGACCCAUAAAGUUUCGUCACCGCUUAGUCUUCUCCUCCUUCUUCGUUUAACUAUACGAUCUUUGGGGAAGUCCAGGGUACCUCCUGUGGGUUCCGAUAAACCUCCUCUUGUUGUAGUUUAUACAGAUGUACCCCCACGGAGAGGAGUCCUCCACGGUCUCCGUUUGACCUCACCCAACACCUUUUCGACCUCUGUUUUCGCUCUUCGGGAGGAGACAACGAUACCGGUCUAGGACCGACUCCGCCCCUAUGAGGAAAAUC
rnacentral:rRNA from 1 species